UCAUCUCCGGGGGUAGAGCACUGUUUCGGCUAGGGGGCCAUCCCGGCUUACCAACCCGAUGCAAACUGCGAAUACCGGAGAAUGUUAUCACGGGAGACACACGGCGGGUGCUAACGUCCGUCGUGAAGAGGGAAACAACCCAGACCGCCAGCUAAGGUCCCAAAGUCAUGGUUAAGUGGGAAACGAUGUGGGAAGGCCCAGACAGCCAGGAUGUUGGCUUAGAAGCAGCCAUCAUUUAAAGAAAGCGUAAUAGCUCACUGGUCGAGUCGGCCUGCGCGGAAGAUGUAACGGGGCUAAACCAUGCACCGAAGCUGCGGCAGCGACACUCAGGUGUUGUUGGGUAGGGGAGCGUUCUGUAAGCCUGCGAAGGUGGCCUGUGAGGGUUGCUGGAGGUAUCAGAAGUGCGAAUGCUGACAUAAGUAACGAUAAAGCGGGUGAAAAGCCCGCUCGCCGGAAGACCAAGGGUUCCUGUCCAACGUUAAUCGGGGCAGGGUGAGUCGACCCCUAAGGCGAGGCCGAAAGGCGUAGUCGAUGGGAAACGGGUUAAUAUUCCCGUACUUGGUGUUACUGCGAAGGGGGGACGGAGAAGGCUAUGUUGGCCGGGCGACGGUUGUCCCGGUUUAAGCGUGUAGGUGUGUGUUCCAGGUAAAUCCGGUUCACUUUAACACUGAGGCGUGAUGACGAGGCACUACGGUGCUGAAGCAACAAAUGCCCUGCUUCCAGGAAAAGCCUCUAAGCAUCAGGUAACAUCAAAUCGUACCCCAAACCGACACAGGUGGUCAGGUAGAGAAUACCAAGGCGCUUGAGAGAACUCGGGUGAAGGAACUAGGCAAAAUGGUGCCGUAACUUCGGGAGAAGGCACGCUGACA
rnacentral:rRNA from 1 species